GAAGCGAGGCACCCGGCACGGCGAAGCGGGCUCCAGGCCGAGUGGCCGUUGGCCGAUGCGCACCACACGUCACGCCGCCGAGCACAGCCUGGAACAAAGGUGUGAUGGCUUCCAUUUUGGACCAGGAAGGUGAAGGGCACACCCGAGGGCAGGAGGAGCAGCAAGCUGGAGGGUGCCGUGGAGCAGAAUCGCCACAGCCCUGACUACCUACCUCUGGAAUUUUCUGUGGGAACCUGUGGCAGAACAAUGCUGCCUGCUGCGGGGUCUAAGCAGCUCUUUGGACAUUCCUCAGUAAUUGUCCUUCGCUGAGUCGUGCUCACUGGUUUACAGGUCUCUCUAGCCUGGGAGCUCCUCCAGGGCUGCCGUGUAAGCAACUGCGUGCACGUGCCCUUCUCUGCGUUCCUCUCGGUCGGCUCGGUUUGGCACAGACAGAGCAGGCAUCCAGGAAACGUUUGCGGAGCUAAUUUCACAUAUGAAAUACUGAUAACUUUCCUUUAACCAAAAACUUCUCAGUGAAUGGUCAUCGCGUGUCCCAUUUCUUCACCCCGGGUCCUGACAGCACCCCCCUCCCCCAGUCUCAUUGGCACCUGCCUAAACAAUGAAAUGGCUUGAAAUAAAAAUGGGUCCUGUGGAAGUCUGGGAGCAGAAGCGAAGGCUGCUCUUAAAGGUUCUUCAUUCAAAUGUUGUAAACAAAACACGGAAACUUCAUGGAAUCCAGUUCAAGCUCUUGCAUGUAUAACAGGGAUUGGCUUCUCUCCUGAAGAGGCCGUUUUCUGAAUGUUGCUUAUAGCCAAGGACCUCACAUUUCUGUUUUGAACUUUUCCCCUUCUUCUGGACCAUUCAGAUAUUCUGAAAUGUCUCCAAAAUGAAUUUCUGACUCAGGCGCUGAGUCUGUAUGGCUCAUAAUGUCAAUGAAUCAGAAGAGCUAGGAAGUUACAGAAACCAGAACAGAGAGGCCCACUUCUUAUUAAUUUAAUCUUGUUUCCAGUUUGAUGAAUACAGUGGUCACUGGCCCAAAGACCCCUUCAUAGCAUCAGCAAAGGUGACUGCUUUAAUGGCAUUCCAUCGCUCUGAUGCUGUUAAAUUUGAGCAUACCCGUGGGAAGGUUGGAAACAUUAAUGCCUCUGGAAAUAUGUAUAACAUUAUCAAGAGCCGAGGAUUCUACACGUUGCAUGCGACUAUCAGGAAAACAAUCGAUGUAUGACCUGCAGAGUAGAUAUCCCGAGUGUAUUUAGUGGAGGUGACCUCAUAAAUGAAGAAGCAGGCAGUGAAGAACAUGUUGGUGGUCACCAGCAGCAUAGUUGGAUGAGGGAAGAUGGCCAUGUGCACUGGCCUGGUGUAGCUCCUCGUGGCCCCCAGUGACAUUUUGCUGGAAAAGGAUAAUCCACCAUUCUGCCCUGUCUGAGUUUCCAUUUGCUGCUUUGGACCUUCCUGUUGGGCUUCAGGCAGAGGCUGUGAUGGCAUCAGGAAGACUGGCCAGAAUGAUCGUAUAAAAAAUUUACACUGGCAUACCACUGUAACAUCUGUCAACAAAACGGCCUUGAACUGCAUAAAAAAACACAAGUAACUUUGUCUAUGGAAGUGACGCCCAGAUAAACACGCAAAGAAUUUCAGGUUGGGUGUGUCCUCAGCUCAACAUAAAAUGGACUAACGGAAGAAAAAUGGAAUAUUCUGAAACAAAAUAUCCAUGUGAAUGACUUUCCAAGGGGAAAAAUAUAAAGAACCUCUUCACCAGAAUUAGAAUAUUUCUUGGGCAUCAACACGGCAGACACACUGCUGCAAUGAAUCUCUUUGGAGAUGACAAUGUUAUAAGCAUCUUGAGAGCUUAAAACAGAAAACAUCAUACAAACUUGGCCAACAUAAGCAUGUGUCUCCAACCAAAACAACAUCGCAGUGAAAUUCUGGAAUUCAGACCGAAGCUGGAGCUGUACGGUGUCCUGUUUCAUCAAGCGGUAUCAUCCGUAGCUGAUUUCCCUUUGCUCAAAGAUUCCACUGGAGAGCUACCAACUAAAAUUCAAAUUGUCCCACAGAUAUAAGACAGGUCUUAUUCCUCAGUGAAUUCCAAUUCUGAAGGAACACGUCUUCCAUUGAUGAAGAAAGCAAGCAAGCCCUAAGCAGGAUCACCCAGGCAAUAGAGAUGGGACUUACGCAAUGUACAGUGAUGGCCACAGCUGUUUCUCGUUCAUGCUAGAACAACUCAUGACACUUUUUUUCUUGCACUGGAAAGGGAUAUUAAAAAAAACACACACACACAC